rnacentral:rRNA from 1 species
AUGAACGCUAGCGGCAGGCCUAACACAUGCAAGUCGAGGGGCAGCACGUAAAGUAAUUUAUUACUUUUGGUGGCGACCGGCGCACGGGUGCGUAACGCGUAUGCAACCUACCUAUAACAGGGGGAUAAUCUGGAGAAAUUCGGUCUAAUACCCCAUAACAUAUUUUGAGGCAUCUUAAGAUAUUAAAAACUCCGGUGGUUAUAGAUGGGCAUGCGUUGUAUUAGCUAGUUGGUACGGUAACGGCGUACCAAGGCUACGAUACAUAGGGGGACUGAGAGGUUAACCCCCCACACUGGUACUGAGACACGGACCAGACUCCUACGGGAGGCAGCAGUGAGGAAUAUUGGUCAAUGGACGCAAGUCUGAACCAGCCAUGCCGCGUGCAGGAUGACGGCUCUACGAGUUGUAAACUGCUUUUGUACGAGGGUAAACUUGGGUACGUGUACCCAACUGAAAGUAUCGUACGAAUAAGGAUCGGCUAACUCCGUGCCAGCAGCCGCAGUAACAC